UACGUAGGGGGCAAGCGUUGUCCGGAUUUAUUGGGCGGAAAGAGCGUGUAGGCGGCCAGGGAGGUCCGUUGUGAAAACUCGAGGCUCAACCUCGAGACGCCGAUGGAAACCCCCUGGCUAGAGUCCGGAAGAGGAGAAUGGAAUUCCUGGUGUAGCGGUGAAAUGCGCAGAUAUCAGGAGGAACACCAAUAGCGAAGGCAGCUCGCUGGGACGUUACUGACACUGAGGCGCGAAAGCGUGGGGAGCGAACAGG
rnacentral:rRNA from 1 species